UACGUAGGCAGCGAGCGUUGUUCGGAGUUACUGGGCGUAAAGAGUGCGUAGGCGGUGUUCCAAGUCUGUUGUGAAAUCUCCCGGCUCAACUGGGAGGGUGCGGCGGAAACUGGGACGCUGGAGUACGGGAGAGGAAAGUGGAAUUCCUGGUGUAGAGGUGAAAUUCGUAGAUAUCAGGAGGAACACCAGUGGCGAAGGCGGCUUUCUGGACGGUAACUGACGCUGAGACGCGAAAGCGUGGGGAGCAAACAGG
rnacentral:rRNA from 1 species